CCUACGGGUGGCAGCAGUGGGGAAUAUUGGACAAUGGGGGGAACCCUGAUCCAGCCAUGCCGCGUGUGUGAAGAAGGCCCUCGGGUUGUAAAGCACUUUCAGUGAGGAAGAACGCCUGGUGGUUAAUACCCAUCAGGAAAGACAUCACUCACAGAAGAAGCACCGGCUAACUCCGUGCCAGCAGCCGUGGUAAUACGGAGGGUGCGAGCGUUAAUCGGAAUUACUGGGCGUAAAGCGCGCGUAGGUGGCUUGAUAAGCCGGUUGUGAAAGCCCCGGGCUCAACCUGGGAACGGCAUCCGGAACUGUCAAGCUAGGGUGCAGGAGAGGAAGGUAGAAUUCCCGGUGUAGCGGUGAAAUGCGUAGAGAUCGGGAGGAAUACCAGUGGCGAAGGUGGCCUUCUGGACUGACACUGACACUGAGGUGCGAAAGCGUGGGUAGCAAACAGGAUUAGAUACCCGUGUAGUC
rnacentral:rRNA from 1 species